CAGGUAUUCUCUCUCUACUUUUCCCUCUCCAGCUUUUCCUUCUCGGGUUCUCAAUUUCAGUUGAUUGUGUACAACAUGUUGUUUACCAUGCAUAUUUUUGAUCCGUUUGUCUGGUGGGUUAUUGGUGGUUGGUUAGCAGGGAGGAAAAUAGAGGAAGAUCUGAUGUACCUGCCGGUGGAUCUUAAUUAUUUCGAAGAUCAUUAUGGCUCUUGAAAAUAAAGGUGGGUUAUGUACUCUCUUUUCGUUUUAAGCGUGUUUUGAAUUCAAAAUUUCGAGCUUUGAUCUUGACAGUCAUGGUUCAGUUCUGCUUGUGAGUUUUGAUCCGGAGGAGUUGUUUCGUCGGUGGAAUUUGGGGCUUUUGGUGCUUGUUAGGUUUUUAUGCUGUCGAUAGGGGGACUUCAGUUUUAAUUCAUAUCAAAUGUCGGUCCCUUUUUACUCAAGAGUCCUUUUCAAAUUUGUUAUCCUCAAAAUUUUUUUUAGGGCAUUAUUUUCUUGUUGAAUUUAGUUGAGGCAUAGUUUAUCAGUUUCUUGCUAGUACAAAGUGCUGGGAGGAUUUCUUGGUAUUGAAUUUUGUUUGGUUAAGGAGCUUACGGUGCCGAGGUCCUUAAAUUUUGAUACAGAACUGAGAAUUCUAGUUCCGUAAGGCAUUGAAAUUGGAAUCUGAAACUUCGUUGGUGACUCCGAAGCAGGGAAAGAUCGGACUAAUAGAAUUCGAGAAUUUGAUGAAUGACUCGUGCUUUUGAGUUGACAUGCAUAAUAAUGCGGUUUGUAGUUGCAUUUUAGUUGAUUUUAGGUUUGUAAUGGGAGUCGUAUCAGUGGCAAAAUUAAGGUACCAAAAUCAAAAGUCACCUUUGUGGUACUGAAGUUGUUAUUGCUUUCCACUCAAGUUGUUAUUGGUUUGUAUGUAGUGAACGUGAAUGUAAGAAAGUGAUUGAAGCUACUAGUUCAGAUACCAGCACAGAGAAAAUUUGUUAGAAAGCAUUUUAUCAUAAAAGUGAAACUGUGUACCGGACUAUUUUGAGAAAAAUAACAAAACAAAAAAGAAAAUCCGUACAGAAAAGAAGCUGACCCCAUACGUACAUUUUAGCUUGCACGCGUAAAAUGGUCUUGACAUAUGCUAAUCUUUCGUGGAACUUAUGCAUAAUUUAUUGUCUAUCGUUGUACCUGGUACUUUUGAUUAUAGCACAAGUUGUGCAAAACUAGUGAAACUUUGGUUAAAUAGAGAAAUAUAGGGUUUGUUUGAGAUGUUGCUCAAAUUAAGUAGAGGCCUUGUAGAAUAACCGAAGCAAAUAUAGUUAGACUAG
rnacentral:lncRNA from 1 species